AUUGAACGCUGGCGGCAGGCUUAACACAUGCAAGUCGAGCGGAGAGAGGUAGCUUGCUACUGAUCUUAGCGGCGGACGGGUGAGUAAUGCUUAGGAAUCUGCCUAUUAGUGGGGGACAACAUUUCGAAAGGAAUGCUAAUACCGCAUACGUCCUACGGGAGAAAGCAGGGGAUCUUCGGACCUUGCGCUAAUAGAUGAGCCUAAGUCGGAUUAGCUAGUUGGUGGGGUAAAGGCCUACCAAGGCGACGAUCUGUAGCGGGUCUGAGAGGAUGAUCCGCCACACUGGGACUGAGACACGGCCCAGACUCCUACGGGAGGCAGCAGUGGGGAAUAAUGGACAAUGGGCGGAAGCCUGAUCCAGCCAUGCCGCGUGUGUGAAGAAGGCCUUAUGGUUGUAAAGCACUUUAAGCGAGGAGGAGGCUACUUUAGUUAAUACCUAGAGAUAGUGGACGUUACUCGCAGAAUAAGCACCGGCUAACUCUGUGCCAGCCGCCGCAGUAA
rnacentral:rRNA from 1 species